ACGGCUCAGUAACACGUGGACAACCUACCCAAAGGUCUGGGAUAACUCCGGGAAACUGGGGAUAAUACCGGAUAGGUCAAGAGUACUGGAAGGGUUUUUUGAUUGAAAGCUCUGGCGCCUUUGGAUGGGUCUGCGGCUGAUUAGGUUGACGCCGGUGUAAAGUACCGGCGUGCCGAUUAUCAGUACGGGUUGUGGGAGCAAGAGCCCGGAGAUGGAUUCUGAGACACGAAUCCAGGCCCUACGGGGCGCAGCAGGCGCGAAAACUCUACAAUGCAGGCAACUGCGAUAGGGGAACAUCGAGUGGCAUCUACAUUAGGUGUCUGUCCAGCUGUCUAAAAAACGGCUGUUAGCAAGGGCCGGGCAAGACCGGUGCCAGCCGCCGCGGUAAUACCGGCGGCUCGAGUGGUGGCCGAUAUUAUUGAGUCUAAGGGGUCCGUAGCCGGCUUUGCAAGUCUUGUGGGAAAUCCAGCGGCUUAACCGUUGGGCGUCUGCGGGAUACUACAUUGCUUGGGACUGGGAGAGGUGGGAGGUACUCAGGGGGUAGGAGUGAAAUCCUGUAAUCCUCUGGGGACCACCGGUGGCGAAGGCGUCCUACCAGAACAGGUCCGACGGUGAGGGACGAAAGCUAGGGGCACGAACCGGAUUAGAUACCCGGGUAGUCCUAGCCGUAAACGAUGCCCGCUAGGUGUCACGGCAGUCGUGAACUGCCGUGGUGCCGUAGGGAAGCCGUGAAGCGGGCCACUUGGGAAGUACGACCGCAAGGUUGAAACUUAAAGGAAUUGGCGGGGGAGCAC
rnacentral:rRNA from 1 species